CGAGGCGCGCACCACGCGGCCCCUUCCUCCAGGCAUUCGCACCACCCCCCACUCCCGUUGCAUGCUGGGAUUGUAGUUGAUCGCCUGCGAUCAACGGCCGGAAGCGGCUAAAACUACUCCUGCCUGCAUACCCCGCAGGAGCAAACCGCGCCAUGUCUCCCUCCAGGGAUCCGCACCGCUCACAAUCCUGUUUAGUGCUGGGAUUGUAGUCCUGCGAGCCUACGACUAAUAGCUGGAUUAACUCUUAAGUACUCCACAACUACACGCUUUUGAAACUGGCGUUGGCAUAGCGUUAGUUCUGUGCAGGGCGGACGCAGCAGGACAGAAUCUCCCUGGGCAUCUUUUCGGAGCAUCAAUUUUACUGCAAAAUUUUGAAAAAACAAAUUUAAUUGAUUUCCAAGGUUUGUCAAGGAGGACAGAAACUCAGAGCACCCUGCACUUGGGGAUCGGCACUAGGAGCUGCUCUCUGGAUGGGGAGAUGGGAGCUAGCAGCUCACAAUGGGGUCACAAGGACCCUUGUGAUUAUAUUAAGCUCACCCUAGUAAUCCAGGAUAACCUCCCUGCUUUAAAGUUAAGUGACUAUAACCUUUAUUCUAUCUGCAAUGUUAUUUCCCAUUGCUGCAUGACCUAAUAUAUCUGCAGUCUGGGGAUUAGGAUGUGGACACCGUUGGAAAAGCAUUAGUCUGUUUAUCACCGAUCUUAUUCACUAUUUUUAUUAAAUAUUAUUCUGGCCAUCUUCUAAU
rnacentral:lncRNA from 1 species